UCAUCCAUUUGUAAAACUUAAAACAAUGAUAGCAUCAUAGUAGAAACUAUUGUUGUGCAUUCCAUAGAAAAAACAUAAAAUGUGGGUUUACACAUAAUCUUAUUUUCUAUAAUAAAAAGCGGAACAAUUUUGUGCAGCAUACUGCUAUUUAUUUUGGGCUGUCAUUCACGACAGUAUACCUAGGCACCUCUGAUUAUUAUUAUUUUUGCCUUCUCUGAUGCGCAACUAUGCAUGCUUCUGCAUUAUGUAAAGCUUAGGCUGCAAGCUGACUGCGAGAUGGAGAAGCAGAAAACAUCAUAAUAACCGGAGAGCCAGCUGUGUGAUGCAUAAGAUGGAGAUGAAGGGAGACUUCAGCAUCACCAUGACCGCAAGGUUGAUUUAUCUGCAAGCCACUAUAAGAUUGAGAUUCAAAGAAUAAUAAUAAGGGGCCAUUAGAGUUUAAAGUAGAAGUAAAUUAACUGACACAUGUUUAAGCGUGGGUCUACCUGUGAUUGCUGCAACGAAUCCAAUAUAAUUUGUUGCACAAAAGGGUCAACCAUAACUAAGAACCAGUACUUUGAAGGCGAGGUAGCAAUUAUGAGCAAUUGAAAUUGAGAUAGAAAAAAUAGCAACUGAGGAACAUCGGGAAGAGAGGUUGACUCCAUCGAGAUUGCUAUGAGAGAGUGCGCGGAGGCUGUACCUUGAAGCAUAAGCACCUUGAUCAGGAGGCUUCGGCCCCAUGAAGCGCAGUCCAACGGAAGCACCGCUGAGCAUGUGCUGUAAAAUCAGGUUUUGCACAAACACAAUGUAUUAAGGAAAAUUAGAUCAAUCGCUAGACCUUAAUUGAUUUUUUUAGAUCUGUGCUGUCUACCUAGAUAGUCGUUACACACUUGUAUUUGUGGUAUUUGGAGUAAGCUUGUGACACCAGGAAACUCUUCACGUGCCUAAAAGCAAAUAAAUGGGAAAAGUAGCAUGAGAAUGUUCAACAAAAAGAUUUAUCUUCACAAUUUCUAUCUAUUCGUAAUCUCCAGCACACUAUGAAGUUUCAGUGAUUUGUUGUCGACCAAACAGAAGUAACUCGAGAAUAAUCGAUUAAUGCAUCCAUAGUUUGUGCUCUUUACCUAAAAUCUACAUGGAACAAUUACAGAGGGAAGUGUAGAAGAACUAUUGUGGAACUUCAACAAAAAAGGAAGCGAGCCAACAUGCUUUGCUGUAAAAGAUUUAAAUUUGCAUAUAC
rnacentral:lncRNA from 1 species